CACUGGUCGAGUCGGCCUGCGCGGAAGAUGUAACGGGGCUAAACCAUGCACCGAAGCUGCGGCAGCGACGCUUAUGCGUUGUUGGGUAGGGGAGCGUUCUGUAAGCCUGUGAAGGUGGCCUGUGAGGGUUGCUGGAGGUAUCAGAAGUGCGAAUGCUGACAUAAGUAACGAUAAAGCGGGUGAAAAGCCCGCUCGCCGGAAGACCAAGGGUUCCUGUCCAACGUUAAUCGGGGCAGGGUGAGUCGACCCCUAAGGCGAGGCCGAAAGGCGUAGUCGAUGGGAAACGGGUUAAUAUUCCCGUACUUGGUGUUACUGCGAAGGGGGGACGGAGAAGGCUAUGUUGGCCGGGCGACGGUUGUCCCGGUUUAAGCGUGUAGGUGUGUGUUCCAGGUAAAUCCGGUUCACUUUAACACUGAGGCGUGACGACGAGGCACUACGGUGCUGAAGCAACAAAUGCCCUGCUUCCAGGAAAAGCCUCUAAGCAUCAGGUAACAUCAAAUCGUACCCCAAACCGACACAGGUGGUCAGGUAGAGAAUACCAAGGCGCUUGAGAGAACUCGGGUGAAGGAACUAGGCAAAAUGGUGCCGUAACUUCGGGAGAAGGCACGCUGACACGUAGGUGAAGUGAUUUACUCAUGGAGCUGAAGUCAGUCGAAGAUACCAGCUGGCUGCAACUGUUUAUUAAAAACACAGCACUGUGCAAACACGAAAGUGGACGUAUACGGUGUGACGCCUGCCCGGUGCCGGAAGGUUAAUUGAUGGGGUCAGCGCAAGCGAAGCUCCUGAUCGAAGCCCCGGUAAACGGCGGCCGUAACUAUAACGGUCCUAAGGUAGCGAAAUUCCUUGUCGGGUAAGUUCCGACCUGCACGAAUGGCGUAAUGAUGGCCAGGCUGUCUCCACCCGAGACUCAGUGAAAUUGAACUCGCUGUGAAGAUGCAGUGUACCCGCGGCAAGACGGAAAGACCCCGUGAACCUUUACUAUAGCUUGACACUGAACAUUGAGCCUUGAUGUGUAGGAUAGGUGGGAGGCUUUGAAGUGUGGACGCCAGUCUGCAUGGAGCCGACCUUGAAAUACCACCCUUUAAUGUUU
rnacentral:rRNA from 1 species